CUAAGUAAUACAUUGAGGGCAUUGUCCGCAAAAUAUAAAUAAUUCAAUAAAUAAAUAUCAUAAUCGCAAGCUGCUGUGACUAUAUGUUUAUAUUCAGAGCAGCUUGCCUUGGUGAUAUGUGUACUAGAGACAAAAGGGGUUAUUUAUCACAGUGUUCUGUUCUAAGAAGGAUUCACUAAUGGAAUGUGCAUGCUGGUUCCGCUGGUGUCCAAGAUAAUUGCCCCAUGUUUAAUGCUUUAUACCACUUUUUAGAACAGAACCUUUACUUUCUCGUUUAGCAUUCACAAAGUAGGUUUGAAUUAGAGUACCAUGUUAAAAAUUACAAAGCAGCAAUCUAAAAUGGAUACAUUGGACUUUACCAUUUCCUGAAACCAAGACAUGAGGAGUCCAGGUCAUAGCUAUGGUGAAAUAGAUGAAUACUAGUUUAAAAAGCACUAAUGCAGAUUAUUCCAUCCAGGAUAGUUUUCCCCUCAUUUUCAGGAUGCAUCUAUAGGAUCAAGAAAAACAUGUGUUGCUUGUUUUGAACACACCUGCAGACUAUACCUGUAUUAAUGGGUAUGGUUGAGAACCUCAGAAACAACCACUUGGCAGUGCAAACCUUUGCUGUAAAUAUUUUAGAAAUAGG